CCAAACCUUCUGCAGAGGGGAGCCCCUGUAUUCUGGUUGCCAAACAUUCUGGAUGCUGUGUUGGAAUUGAGGCAGUUCCACAAUAUUUGUAUACAUUCUGAAUGGCUUGGGAUGUAACAGUUUAUGGCCACCAAUUUUGAUAAGAAUUGGAGAGUGACUAUAGACUCUAGUAGUAGAACCCUUCUUAUUUGUCCAAGUGUAGUGCCAACCCUUUUCUGUGAGAGGAGUGAGUUGCAAAACAUUUAUGGCAUCUCUAAACCCUUUAGUUUUAGCUUCAGUUACAGCGGAACCAAUUCUAUCUUUAGAGCUUAGGACAUUAUUGAAGUCACCACUAGUAACCAAGGGUCUUGACUUGGAAUAGGAAUGUUCAUCAGAUCAGUCCAGAAUUGGUUUCUUUGGUUCACAUUAUUCAGGGCAUAGAUGACACUAAAAUGAAAUCUAAUUUUACUAGUUGAAUCUUCAAUGAGGCAGUGCAUGAAUUGGUCAGUCAUUUGGGAGAUGGUAACCUGGAUAUGAGGUCUCCAGAACAGCCAGAUUCUCCCAUUCACAGCUUUAGAG
rnacentral:lncRNA from 1 species